rnacentral:tRNA from 1 species
GGCUUGAUAGUUCAGUGGCAGAAUUCAUGCUUUGGGUUAUUCAACUUAAAUGUAUGAGGUCCUGGGUUCAAUCCCCAGUCAAGCCC